GGAGGGUGCGAGCGUUGUCCGGAAUCAUUGGGCGUAAAGGGCGCGUAGGUGGCCCGGUCAGUCUUUGGUGAAAGCGCGGGGCUCAACCCUGCGUCGGCCAGGGAUACUGCCGCGGCUGGAGCACUGUAGAGGCAGGCGGAAUUCCGGGUGUAGCGGUGGAAUGCGUAGAGGUCCGGAAGAACACCGGUGGCGAAGGCGGCCUGCUGGGCAGUUUUGCUGACACUGAGGCGCGACAGCGUGGGGAGCAAACAGGAUUAGAUACCCUGGUAGUCCACGCCGUAAACGAUGGGCACUAGGCGCUUGGGGGAGCGACCCCCCGAGGGCCGGCGCUAACGCAUUAAGUGCCCCGCCUGGGGAGUACGGCCGCAAGGCUG
rnacentral:rRNA from 1 species